GCAACCCCAGGUCAGGCGGG
rnacentral:rRNA from 1 species